rnacentral:lncRNA from 1 species
GGCGGCGGAGGAGCCGUAGCUAAGGGUAAUCCUGUUUUUACUUCCUCCAUCUUCAGAGAGCAGAGGGUUAGCCUGGGACAGCUGGUCAAACCCCGAGAAACCGAUCCGGCGGCGGCGGCGGCGGCGGCCGCUCUCCCUCCCUCCCUCCCACAGACACACACACACACAGACACACACACACACAGACACAGACACACCACUCAUUCGCUCCCUCCUUCACACACUCCCUUCCCUCCCUCACACACGGAUACGCGCACUCCCUCCCUCCCACACACACACACACACACCGGCUCCCUCACAGAUACGCGCACUCCCUCACACCCAUACACACCUCCUCCACACACACUCCCUCAGACACACACUAUCCCUCCCUCAGGCUCAAACCCACGCACACUCAUUCACUCCCGCACACUCGGUCGUCCCCCCUCCGCACGGACUCGCACUCUGUCCCUCACGCACAGUCAUCAGCCCCUCACACAUUCUCACUCACACUCAGCCCUCGACACGCACUCACUCACAGUUCUUCCCUCGAAGUCCCUCACACGGACACACUCGCUGCCUCGCUCGCACUCAGUCAAUCUCACUCGCACACUCACACUCAAUCCCAGAGACACUCAGUCCCUCACGCACACUCACACACCCGCUGCCCCCUUCCAGACCCUUUCCCGCCCCGCGGCGCCUCAGCCCCGGCGGGGCCGGCGCGGCGGGGGGCGGGUGCCCGCAGCCGGCGCGAGGCCGCUCAGCGCGCUCGGCAAUCGAUUACAGGACAAGCGCGGCCGCCGCCGCCGCCGCCGCCACAGUGCGCGCCCCGCGCCUCACGCGGGCGGGCGCGCGCGCCCUCAGGGCACGACCGCGGCCCCUCAGGGCGGCCCGGCGCCGGGCACCCCCCGCACCCCUUGGGCAGCCGCUGCCCAGGGGCUCCCGCCGGCCGGGCGGAGGGACCGGUGGAGUCAUGAUUCAGCACUUCUGUUUAUCAGCGGCCGGGGGGCGGCCGGGCUUGUCGCUUAA